rnacentral:rRNA from 1 species
GACGAACGCUGGCGGCGUGCUUAACACAUGCAAGUCGAACGAUGAAGCCGGAGCUUGCUCUGGUGAAUUAGUGGCGAACGGGUGAGUAACACGUGAGUAACCUGCCCUUGACUCUGGGAUAACUGCGGGAAACUGUAGCUAAUACCGGAUACGACCCUCGGAGGCAUCUCCUGGGGGUGGAAAGAAUUUCGGUCAAGGAUGGACUCGCGGCCUAUCAGCUAGUUGGUGAGGUAAAGGCUCACCAAGGCGACGACGGGUAGCCGGCCAGAGGGGGUGGCGCGCCACACUGGGACUGAGACACGGCCCAGACUCCACCGGGGGGCAGCAGUGGGGAAUAUUGCACAAUGGGCGCAAGCCUGAUGCAGCAACGCCGCGUGAGAGAUGACGGCCUUCGGGUUGUAAACCUCUUUUAGCAGGGAAGAAGCGAAAGUGACGGUACCUGCAGAAAAAGCACCGGCUAACUACGUGCCAGCCGCCGCGGUAA